rnacentral:tRNA from 1 species
GCCUGGCUGGCUCAGUCAGUAGAGCAUAUGACUCUUGAUCUUGGGGUCAUUAGUUCGAGUCCCAUGUUGGACA